GAUGAAGAACGUAGCGAAAUGCGAAAAGUAAUGUGAAUUGCAGAAUUCAGUGAACCAUCGAAUCUUUGAACGCACAUUGCGCCCGCUGGAACUCCGGCGGGCACGCCUGUCCGAGCGUCAUUUCAACCCUCAGGCCCCCCUUCGCGGGCGGGCCUGGUGUUGGGGCCCGGCCGCUACCCUGCGGCCGUCCCCUAAAUCCAGUGGCGGCCUCGCCGUGAUCCCUUGCGUAGUAAUGCACCUCGCACCGGAGAGCGCCGUGGCCACGCCGUAAAACCCCCAAUUUUCAAUGGUUGACCUCGGAUCAGGUGGGAAUACCCGCUGAACUUAAGCAUAUCAAUAAGCGGAGGGA
rnacentral:misc_RNA from 1 species